GCAUGAGUCAUAUCAGAAAAUAUGAGAAAUCAACAUCCUGAAAUAACUUGAAUUGAGAUUUGUUUAAUGGUAGGAUGGAGCAGUAUCUCACAAAGUGAAAGCUUUUUAUUAACACUGAAGAAAAUACAACCAUCAUCAGGUCUUUCAUUGAAGCCAUUAAAUUUCUGCCAAAUUCCAGGAAGACCUGGAAUAUGACAGUUCAUUAGAGAGUACCCUGG
rnacentral:lncRNA from 1 species